rnacentral:rRNA from 1 species
AUACGUAGGGUGCGAGCGUUGUCCGGAAUUACUGGGCGUAAAGAGCUCGUAGGUGGUUUGUCGCGUCGUCUGUGAAAUUCCGGGGCUUAACUCCGGGCGUGCAGGCGAUACGGGCAUAACUUGAGUACUGUAGGGGAGACUGGAAUUCCUGGUGUAGCGGUGAAAUGCGCAGAUAUCAGGAGGAACACCGGUGGCGAAGGCGGGUCUCUGGGCAGUAACUGACGCUGAGGAGCGAAAGCAUGGAUAGCGAACAGGAUUAGAUACCCUGGUAGUCCAUGCCGUAAACGGUGGGCGCUAGGUGUAGGGGUCUUCCACGACUUCUGUGCCGUAGCUAACGCAUUAAGCGCCCCGCCUGGGGAGUACGGCCGCAAGGCUGAAACUCAAAGGAAUUGACGGGG